rnacentral:lncRNA from 1 species
UUUUCAUGAAUGAAAUAAAAAUCCAAUGAUGUUUUGAAUUUGAUGAACAUAUUUUGAAUUCUAGGACAUAUUUUAUAUCCAAAUUGCAUUCGUUAUAAUGAAGAGAAUCGUAAGAAAAAUUGUGAACAUUUUUAAUACGAUGUUUCUUAAUUCAAAGAACAAAUUUUGAAAUUAUUAAAUACUCAGCAAUUUAAAAAAUAUUCAAAUUUUGCAAAAUGUGCCACUAAUNCGCCUAUCGAUGUGUGAAUCGUCUGAUAGACGGAAAAGCACCCUUAAGCCUCGUAUUUGGGCCAGCCAUAGUGGGGCCGACGAUUUUUCAUCGCUACGAAUAUAUUUAUAAAUUUAAGUGAACUUUUUUAAUUAUAAAAUAAUACAGUAAAAAAACUAGAUAUUCAUGUAUUAGAAAAUAUCGAUUAUGUGUUCAAAAAAUUCUCAUCGUGCAUUUUUAAAAUGCUAAUCAUGUAUUUCAAGAAUUGUCAAUCGUCUAGUAUAAAUGGUCAUCACACGUUUACAAAUUUUUAUCUUGUAUUUUUAUAAUUAUAUAUCAUGAAUUUUUGAAAUAUUUUUCAUGUAUUGUAGAGAUUUGUUUGGUCUAUUAACUUAUUAAGAAUGUCAGCAUGUAUUUAAAUAAUAUUCAGUGUAUAUAAUAAAAGAACAUGUGUAAAAGACUUCCAUUCAUAAUUUAGAAUAAAAGGAAAAUAACCUUAGAGGAAACAAAAUAUAGAUAAAGUCAAAAAUCAAAACAGAAAACAUAAUAUGUUCCAAGAAAAGGGAAAACUAUCUAAAGACAAGAAAAAUAAAGGUAUACAAAGAGAAAACUAGAAAAGAAGAAAACAAAACACAAUGUAACAAAUAGUUAGUGAAUUGGGCCAUAAUAUACAUCGAGUAUGUGUGUACUCCACUAUUCAGGUGCUUCUGUUUCUCGCUUGUUGCAAGGGCAGCAUCUAUACAUUACCGAAAUCACUCGCUAGAGACCACCCCUUGCAAAGCUCCUUUUCUUAAAUUGGUGAUAAGUGGGGCACUAUAUGUGUGACACUUGUUGUAAUUUUGGAGUUUAUCCCUUGAACAGUGUGUUCAACUCAUGAACCAUUUUCAUUUUUUCAUUUUCCGUGUUGAGAUCUUCAAAAAUAGACGCCAUAUAAAUAUGUUCAGAUGAUUCUUAUUUUCUAAAAAAACAUAAAAGCAAAAAAAAAA